rnacentral:rRNA from 1 species
UACGGAGGGUGCAAGCGUUAUCCGGAUUCACUGGGUUUAAAGGGUGCGUAGGCGGGCAGGUAAGUCAGUGGUGAAAUCUCCGAGCUUAACUCGGAAACUGCCUUUGAUACUAUCUGUCUUGAAUAUGGUGGAGGUAAGCGGAAUAUGUCAUGUAGCGGUGAAAUGCUUAGAUAUGACAUAGAACACCGAUUGCGAAGGCAGCUCGCUACACCUGCAUUGACUCUGAGGCACGAAAGCGUGGGGAUCAAACAGG